AGAUUAAGUUAUUAAGGGCGCACGGUGGAUGCCUUGGCACUAGAAGCCGAUGAAGGACGUUACUAACGACGAUAUGCUUUGGGGAGCUGUAAGUAAGCUUUGAUCCAGAGAUUUCCGAAUGGGGAAACCCAGCAUGAGUUAUGUCAUGUUAUCGAUAUGUGAAUACAUAGCAUAUCAGAAGGCACACCCGGAGAACUGAAACAUCUUAGUACCCGGAGGAAGAGAAAGAAAAUUCGAUUCCCUUAGUAGCGGCGAGCGAAACGGGAAGAGCCCAAACCAACAAGCUUGCUUGUUGGGGUUGUAGGACACUCUAUACGGAGUUACAAAGGACGACAUUAGACGAAUCAUCUGGAAAGAUGAAUCAAAGAAGGUAAUAAUCCUGUAGUCGAAAAUGUUGUCUCUCUUGAGUGGAUCCUGAGUACGACGGAUCACGUGAAAUUCCGUCGGAAUCUGGGAGGACCAUCUCCUAAGGCUAAAUACUCUCUAGUGACCGAUAGUGAACCAGUACCGUGAGGGAAAGGUGAAAAGCACCCCGGAAGGGGAGUGAAAUAGAACCUGAAACCGUGUGCUUACAAGUAGUCAGAGCCCGUUAAUGGGUGAUGGCGUGCCUUUUGUAGAAUGAACCGGCGAGUUACGAUUUGAUGCAAGGUUAAGCAGUAAAUGUGGAGCCGUAGCGAAAGCGAGUCUGAAUAGGGCGUUUAGUAUUUGGUCGUAGACCCGAAACCAGGUGAUCUACCCUUGGUCAGGUUGAAGUUCAGGUAACACUGAAUGGAGGACCGAACCGACUUACGUUGAAAAGUGAGCGGAUGAACUGAGGGUAGCGGAGAAAUUCCAAUCGAACCUGGA
rnacentral:rRNA from 1 species